UAAACCCCACGGACCAAACACUAUUGUUGUGUGUUAUUAUAAAAUCCUUUCGAGUCAGUACGGUAUAGAACAACAUAAUGAUAAUAAUAUUUGAUUUUAUAUUUCAUCGCUACCCAUCAUCGUACAGAAUUCGUUACUGCAGCAGUACACACAUAGUUAUCAUAUUAUUAUUAUGUACGGCCAUAAAUACAACGCGUAAUCUAAAAUAUACAUAAAUAGUUUUACACAAUAUUACGGUGUACAUUUGUCCUCUACGGGCUAUUAUUUACCAUGUACGCCGUCUUAACAUAGAUUAAAACUCCUUUGAAAAAUUUGGAGUUUGUAACGUGUUAUGUUGUAGAGAUAGAUGCACAUAUUUUUAUCAUUAUCGGGGGUCGUAUUUUUUUGACCCCGGGCCGAGUGCGUUAUCGGGACGCAGGUGGUCUUCGUACAUAUUAUUAUUAUUACGGUGAUAAUAAUAAUUUAUGUAGACUGCAGCAGCUUGAUGCAUUCAGACGAUAUUAUAUAAAUUCGUUUGAUUUUCGUUUUCAUUUUUUUUUUUUAUUAUUUUUUUUUUUUUUUUUAUUUUUUUUUUUUUUUUUUCUAUCGAUCCGAAUGGAAGAAAAUGUGUUGACCCCUCGUAAACACGGACGUAUUAUACACAAGUAUUGUUUUUGAAUUUUAAAAACACCAUAAUAUAAUAUAUGUACGCCGCUGUUAUGCAAAUAUAACGUGCGCGUGUGUGCAUGUGUGUGUACGUAACUCCAACGGUGGCAUGUUAUACCCGUGCAUGUAUAUAAAAAUAUAUAAUAUUAUACCGAAUCUAAAUGAAUUCGUAACGAAUGUAUAAACGGCCACAUAUUAUAAUAGCAGUCAAAUAUUAAUUCAGUACAUUUUUUAAAACAUAUAUUGUUGACGUUUAAAUAAUACGUCCGUUUAUCGCGUUUACACGGAGCAAAAGACAUUUUUCUUGGGCAGAUAGGUAGCUAGCCGUAUACACGUUUAAUAUUAUUACACAAUAAACGUAAAACAUAUAUUAAGCGAUUUAUCAUUUUUUAACAAUAUUUUUCACGGCUGGACUCAAUAAUACGCGACGGUUUUAUCUCACAGAGACAUCAAAAAUAUUUCAAAAAACGCGGUGAUGGAUACCUGGUGCCCAUAUAAUGUGUACCUGACAAUUCAUACUGAAAUCGAAUUCGUCUCGAAAAACAGGAACAUUAUUGAAUGUCUUGAAAUAAUGAUAUAAUGAUAGGUAUUACGAGAUGGCUUAUAAACGAAUUUAGGUUAGGUGCUUGUGACGCGUACAGUAACUCGGAAUAAAUUAAAUUAGCAUUUUUAUUGCAAUAUAAUAUUUACGUGUUCGUUGAAAAUUAUUAUUAUUAUUUUCAUAAACGUAACGCAUUGCGAGUAGUGCGAGUAAAUUAUUGUGUUUAAAGGGCCUCGCACUAUAGGUAUAAUUUUUUUUUCAUAAACUAAUUAUUCCGAACACGAUGAAUCGAUGGAAAUUGUUGAUAACCUAUUUAUUUUUUCCAUUUAUAAACUACACUCAAAAAGUGUCGAUCACGACGAUUUUUUUCAUUAUCUUUUAAUAAUGGUGGUAUUGUUGUUCUAUAUUUCCAAACUUAACAAUGUUUGAAUGUUUCAAAUACAUAAAAUAAAUAAUAUAUUAGUCUAAUUAGUAAAACAUAAUUCGCGUUCAAGAGUAUUAAAUUCAUCACUUACUAACAAGAAUUGAAAAUCUAAUUCUGACACAAAAAAAAAAAAAAAUAAUGAUGUACAUUAUAAGUUAUAACGUAAAUGUAUGACAUGUGGCUCGAGUCAAAAAGUAAAAUCUUGAGUCUUAAGUUAGGUACCUACUUUUGUAAGUCAUAAAAGUUAAAUUUUUCAUUGUUUGAUUUUUUCCUUUCGAUAUGUUAAGAAUAGCUUUAGGCACCUUACACUUUAUUCAACAGUAAUAUGUUAUUUAUUUAUGUUGGUUUUCACGGUUUGAGUUCAAAAUAAUAACGACUUGAAAAAAAAAGUAUGUUAAAUUAAGUAUUAAUUUAUAAAUUUAUAUCAAUUUAAAUAAGGAACGUUAAACGAAUAUAAUAUAAUUAAAGAAGUAUUAAACGUUACACAUCACUGACAAAGGUCAUAAUUUAUCAAUGUAGGUAACCUAUUUAUGCUUACCUAACCAAACUAAGAAACGAUUUCAGUUGAUUAGGUAGGUAGGUAGGUACUUAUCGUUAUCAAUAAAUACAAAUUUGUAAAAAUAAUAUCGAGUAACUGUUGUACUAAUAGGCGUGUAUAAUACACAGGAAAAAAUAAUUUGAAAACAUGUUCAAAGCAUAGAA
rnacentral:lncRNA from 1 species